GGAGAAAGUGUCUUGUAUUGAAUG
rnacentral:siRNA from 1 species